GGCUGAGGCUCUGUCCUUCUUCCCCCAGCCCAGAGAAAGGCUGAUUUCCAACAUCCCGCAGGGCCUGUGGAGCCAGAGCCCAGAGACAGAGGCCUGCAGAGGAGGUAAUUCUGCCCGAAGACCCCAGACUCCCACCCGCCCCUCGCCCAUACACUGCCCCUAAAGCUUCCGUUCCUCCCCCAGGUCCAGCCCCGCUGCCGACGCCCAGGAAGAAAACCCCUAUGCUACUGUGAAGGACACACAGCCUGAGGACGGGGUGGAGCUGGACAGUCCGAGCCCACACGAUGAAGACCCCCAGGCAGUGACGUAUGCCGAGGUGAAACACUCCAGACCUAGGAGAGAAAUGGCCUCCCCUCCCUCCUCACUGUCUGAGGAAUUCCUGGACACAAAGGACACACAGGCAGAAGAGGACAGGCAGAUGGACACUGAGGUGGUCCUUUCCUCUCCAGGCCCCCAGGCCUCCCCGACCCCCACCACGUUCCUUCCCUCUCACUCUCCCCCACUGCAGGCUGCUGCAUCUGAAGCCCCCCAGGAUGUGACCUACGCCCAGCUGCACAGCUUGACCCUCAGACGGGAGGCAACUGAGCCUCCUCCAUCCCAGGAACGGGAACCUCCAGCUGAGGCCAGC
rnacentral:sRNA from 1 species